UGUGUCGAAAUGUUUUAUUACAACGCCUCAGUCGGCGUAUCUUUAUACGAAUUUUAUUUAUCCGCAUAUUGUUAUCGCUAUCACACUAUGAAAAGUAUUACAACCGUAAUUGCGUUAACUUUCACCCCAUAUGUACGCGUUUUGGCAUCCUCGGCGUCGAUUAACUUGUACAAAUGCAUAGGCUAUGUGUGUUUGUUCUUCCCAGUUUGGACUGCUUUUGAACAGCAGUCGGAGGCCAGGGGGCUGACAGCACGGCAAACCCGGGGCGAUUAAGACACCCCCAUUUAGCGCCGCGGGACGUAUCAUCGUUCCCCGGUGCUGCCGUCGGAGCGCCUCCUUGGUUACACGCCGCCGACCGCGGCCGCAACCCGAUCCCUCUGUUGAGGCAACAGCGGCGCGGGCGAACAGCGCUCCUGCGUGUUUCCUGGCCGCGGGUGACGGCGGGUGACGGCGGCGCGGGCGAGAUCGCGAGGUUAAGUAACCGACACGGCGGUUUAACCGCCCGACGCCUCGGAGCGGCCCGCCCGCGGCUGCCAGCUCGGCGACGCCCCGUUUUCCACGGGCCCCUCUGGACGUCAUCCAGGCGCUGAAUGUUUUAUAGCCCGUGGCACGCUAUCCAGUUUCUCCUCCGCGGAAACAAUCGCCCCUUAUGGAUGCAUUAAAGUGAAGCCAUUUUAGCUCUUUCGCGCGCGGUAGCUUUUUAAUGAAAAUGCUUCCGCUUUUUAAUCCUUAUACUUUAAGAGAUUUUGUCCUGUGUGCACAUUUUUCAUUACUAUGUACCCCAGUAGUAACUGAGAAUUUAACCUAAGAGUCAAGGACACUGCUUAGACACAAAACAAAUCUAAAGGGUCCUUCCACAUGAAUAUUCAUGAUGAAAAAUUGGGUAUAUUGAUGCUGGCUGUUUGAAUGUGAGAAUGUAGGACCCCCAUUGUUUUUGCUAGGAUUAUUUUUAUUUUUCUUCUGUCUUUUCCUACAUUUCCACCCAUUUCCCAAGCUCAAAUACUCUGGGAUGACUGCCAAUCCAUUACGUAUGACAACCAUGCAUCUGACACUCUAGUUGGUGCUAUAGCGCCACCUACAACAUUGAAAUACAGCAAUCCCGUUUCUUACGUGCCAACUUUAUUCCACAUACAUAUGUAUUUGUUCUUCAUCCUGAACAAAUUUGCUCACAGAACCUAUUCAGUCUGCCAUAUUGGGAUUUCUGCCGUUUUUAAUUCUUUGAAAAACAAACUUUUUUUUGUACUUCUCCUACAAUGUUUGCUCAAUCCUCACCAAACUCAGCAUGCAUAAUCUACAGCAUAUCUCUGUGUUGGGUUGCGAAGGAACUUGAUGCGUCCAAAGAUGGCAGCAGGACAACAAUUAAAAUUUAACCAAAACGGAUGACCAUGCCCAAAUUAUGAUUAUGGGCCCAAAUUUACCAAAAUUGGCCUGGAUGGUAUUUGGAUUAGGCUUGCAGUCCACGACAAAGUACUCCCCAGUGCACAAUGGCUCACUCUUGGUGCUUGGUCCCCGACAUCAGUGCUUGUAGCUAUAUAUUUUCUUUGUGUUUGUUGAGAAGGGGAUUGGGGAGGGGGUGGGAGGGGAAUGGUGGAGAACAAGUAUAUAAAGAAAUCUGCUGAAUACAGAUUGUUCUAUUUGCCACUAAUGAAAUACAGUUGUAGAAAUCCACAUGUCGGAUUUGUAUGAUUACAUUUUUGAAAAAGCCAUAUUGUUUUACCACAAUACAGGGAUCUUAGAGUGGUAGGGAGUUAAUAGUUUGAAGCUUGAUGCUAUAAAUGGGAUGGGAUCGUCCCUUAAGAGAGCAGUGCUCGACAUAUGGUACUAAAUCUCUCAUAGCUGCCAUCUGCCUGUGCUCUAACGGUUGGGAAUGCUGACCUCUGCUGGCACUAAGGUCAUCCAACAGUGAUAAAACCUGAGAGGUAUGUUCAAUAUUCUGUCACCAGGGGAGACUGCAUAUGAUUUUUUGAAGUGUCUUAUUUUAAUGUAAUUAUUCAAAUUUCUAUUGGCAUGCACAUGCAGAGUAAAAAAGAGUGGGGGGGGGGGGGGAAGCAACCAAUGGACAAAUAAGCACAAUAUGACAGCUGUGUUUAUGCAUGUGUGCAUGUGUGUGGGGACGUGAGAGUGAAUGCGUGUCUCCACCUUUGUGCGUGUGUGUGUGUGUGCAUGCGUGUCAUUGCGUGUGUGAGUUUGUGUGUGCAUGUGUGUCAGUGUGUGCAUGUGUGUGUGGUAGAUGUGGCCCUGAUCAAAAACGUCUUGUUGAACAGGAACUGUGGAUGCAGGAAAUUAUUGAUGGAUGAAAUGCUAUGUGAUAUAUCCUAGCAUUUACAAGCUCAACUAUACAUUCCCAAAAAUUAUUUGUAGCUUCACACUCCCAUGCCCUGCUCCCUGUGACUGGAGGCUCUGACAUGCUGCAGUGUCCACUGGUGGGUAUAAUGUAUUAAUAACAGCAUCUACAGUAGGCAGCUGGAUGUCGCGUGAAUCUGAGCUGGGAGUUAGCUGGGUUGUGCAGGAAGCAUAAUUGUGCAUUGUCAUUCUUCCUGUUAUUUAUUUUAUUUCCGAAGGCCUCGUUCCCAGAGAUUUUUACACUGAAAUGACAGAUUUAAGUUGUUAUAAUAACGCAGCCAUUUUCAGUCAGAAUUGCACAGAAUGCAUUGACUGUGAACAUCUGCCUCUGAAAGAUGCCCUAAUGCUCAUUGUGCAGCAAAUAAAUGCAGAUUGUGCAGGGAUUUUUAAUAAUACAGACUAUUUAUCUCAUCGUCUUAUUAUUUUAUUGUGUCAUUGUGUAUCUUCAUAAUUUAACAACUUCACACUUGUAUUUGGCAAGCAAAAAUUCCCAGAGCAAAAAAAACAUAAAAUCAAUAACUCUUCCUCAACACCUGUCAACUGUCAAAUGUGUUACCAGUUCUGCAGGCAGAGCGCAUAUAGUUUUGAGUGAUAUCCUUCGAUCAGCUGUUCAGUGGGAACGCACGCUUUCAGAUUCAAAAUGUAGCCGAGAGCCAUUUGUGAUAUUUAUUCAUUCAUGCGCAAAGCAGCAGCGAGCUGUAGCGGUCCCGCUCCUCAAAGAGCCCAGGACGGUGGGGGUGUGGGAGGACAGACUCACUCACACUGACUCUCUGCGUUCCGUGGGUGUUUUCCGGAAGUUUGGCCGGCUCAUCAUCCCCAGAGAGAGGAAGACAAGCCUACUGUAUGAGGACAGCGUGCCUUCUUUAAAGUCGUCCAUGCCAAUUUCCCUCUCAAAGUUAGCCUUCAGAAACUGCUGUAAAAAAAAAACGUAAGCAUCAAAAUAGACAAAAUGGUGAAAUGUUUAAUUUUCAAACAACCAAUGUCAAUUGUAAUGUCUGAGUAUAUCUGAUAUUUCAGUAACGUGGAAAUAAUUUUAAUAAGGUGGAAAUAAUUGUGCGGCCUACAUCCAGCUUCUAGAAACACCGCCCUUUUAUGCACAUGACUCAGUCUUUAAUGUGUUCAAAUUUAUGUGUCCUUAGUAAAAUGUUGAAGUAUUUCUAACAUUUCCGAAGUUUUCUUAACAUCACAUUUGGGAUUGAUAAAGUGAAGGAACCUGUAUCGUAAGCCAAGGAUUCUUCAACGGCAGACUAAUGUCAUUUUAUCAGCGACACCAUCAGCAACUCCUAAUGGAAAAAGAUUUCUAGAGGGGAAAAUUUGCUGGUGCUAAUUACAGAAACUUAAAAACCCCUGAAGGUUCCCCUUUUUUUGUGAACAGAUGGGCUCAGGUUUAAGCUACACAUUAUGACACUUCCUCGCUACACCGGUGCAUUUCUAAAGUUUCCCAUAGAUCUUUAAUCAAAUACUUAUCUCCCGGGAGCUGUUGGCCUGCUUUUGUAUGACACAGGUCCAUGACAUAGCUGGAAUACCAGACUUCGUUUGUUCGGAGUACCGAGCGGGAGCGUGUACCAAUUCUGUGGGCUGCAUUAGACCUGACACAUUUUAAUUUCAGCUUCACACAAUGGCAAAGCCAGCUUCAUCCACACGACAGCAGUGGGGAUUUGACUUGACUAAUGGAGUCUAGUGGUUGCUGCAUGUGAAAUGAGUAGCGUGGAGAAUGAGUGACAGUGCAGGUAGAUGUUUCAGAAGAGUUGUGUGUGCUUUGAUAUCUCAUGUAAUCGUGACUGUGUGUGUGUG